GUGCACUUAGCUCAAUAGAAGAGCAUUGCUCAUGAAAGUUGAGGUUGUGGGUUUGAUUCCCACAGUGCAUA
rnacentral:tRNA from 1 species